UACAGGGGGUGCAAACGUUGCUCGGAAUCAUUGGGCGUAAAGCGCACGUAGGCGGUUCGUUAUGUCGGAUGUGAAAGCCCUUGGCUUAACCGAGGAAGUGCAUCCGAAACUGGCGAGCUAGAGUACUAAAGAGGAUCGCGGAAUUCCCGGUGUAGAGGUGAAAUUCGUAGAUAGUCGGGAAGGAACACCGGUGGCGAAGGCGGCGAUCUGGGUAGAUACUGACGCUGAGGUGCGAAAGCGUGGGGAGCAAACAGG
rnacentral:rRNA from 1 species